CAUACGUAAAAAUAAUGAAGAGCCAGACAAGGUUAUUGUUGAUACUCCAAAAAUAUUGAAUAAUGGUGAAGCUAGAGGAUUUUGGAUCAAAUGGGGAGGUGGUUUUAUUGGUGUAGGAAAACAAGGAGAGGAAAAACCAUUCAUGUCAUGGCAAGAUGAAGAAUCUUUAAAUGUGUUGUUUUAUGGUGUGCGUAGUGGAUGGGGAUCUACAGGUGUAUGGACUAUUGAAGAUAAUAUUUACAUAAACACCGAAGAUAGUAAGGAGUUCAUAUUUAGAGCUAUACUUCAUGGAUCAAUAAGUUUUUCGGUAGAUAGUGCCAAUGAUGCACAUAUUGUUUUGGCAACUAAAGAUAAAGAAUCUGAACCUAUGGUAGAGGUAUUACUUGGUGGCUGGAAGAAUACAGCAUCUGCCAUUCGUUACAACAAGCAAACACCAGAUAAGGUGCACGUUGACACUCCUCAGCUUCUGUGUAAAGACACUCCAAAGAAAUUUGUCAUUUUUUGGAGAGAUGGUGUUAUUGAAGUGUUUAGUGAAAAAACUAAAUUAUUUGAAUGGAAAGAUUCAAGCCCAUUUAUCAUUUCUCAUUAUGGAGUUCGUACUUGUUGGGGGGCUGUUGGCAAUUGGCACAUUCAUGGUGCAGCAGAUGAUCAAUUUAAAAGCAAAAUAGUUGCUACCCCAAAACCAAAACCUUUAAAAGGAAAAGCUCCACCUGCAGCUUCACCUGGUUGGAACCUUGAUGGACCAUCCUCUGGUCCAGUUCAUUGGGUCCAUGCUAGUAACGGGCAAAUACCACCAAAUGCUUUACCCGGUGGUUUUGAUGCUACCAACGAACAGCUAUAUGUAGCUAGAGCAGAACAUAAUGGUGCUCUGAUUCCUGGUAAACUUGUUCCUUCACAUGGUGUUGUCUAUAUACCUUGGGGUGGUAUUGAGAAUCCUUAAAGAAAACUAUGAAGUACUUUGCAACUGUAAUGGUACUUGGGUAAAAGCCAACAAUGGAGAAAUCCCAGUAGGCGCAUUAUCUUCAGGUCACACAGAAGAUGGUGAACCAUUGUUUGUUGGACGUGGUGAACAUAAUGGUUCUUUGACUGUUGGAAAGGGUUUGGAUGUUAUUGCAGUUUAAAAUAUGUAUAACUGA